GCCUACGGGGCGCAGCAGUGAGGAAUAUUGGUCAAUGGCCGGAAGGCUGAACCAGCCAAGUCGCGUGAGGGACGACUGCCCUAUGGGUUGUAAACCUCUUUUCUAAGGGAGGAAUAAAUGCUACGUGUAGCAUGAUGCCUGUACCUUAUGAAUAAGCAUCGGCUAACUCCGUGCCAGCAGCCGCGGUAAUACGGAGGAUGCGAGCGUUAUCCGGAUUUAUUGGGUUUAAAGGGUGCGCAGGCGGGAGAUCAAGUCAGCGGUAAAAUGUCGGGGCUCAACCCCGGCCGGCCGUUGAAACUGGGUUU
rnacentral:rRNA from 1 species